rnacentral:rRNA from 1 species
GACGAACGCUGGCGGCGUGCCUAAUACAUGCAAGUCGAGCGGAACUGGGGGAGCUUGCUCCUUCCAGUUUAGCGGCGGACGGGUGAGUAACACGUGGGCAACCUGCCCUGCAGAUCGAGAUAACUCCGGGAAACCGGUGCUAAUACCGAAUAGUUUGGCGCCUCUCCUGAGGCGCCACGGAAAGACGGUUUCGGCUGUCACUGCAGGCUGGGCCCGCGGCGCAUUAGCUAGUUGGUGGGGUAACGGCCCACCAAGGCGACGAUGCGUAGCCGACCUGAGAGGGUGAUCGGCCACACUGGGACUGAGACACGGCCCAGACUCCUACGGGAGGCAGCAGUAGGGAAUCUUCCGCAAUGGACGCAAGUCUGACGGAGCAACGCCGCGUGAGUGAUGAAGGUUUUCGGAUCGUAAAACUCUGUUGUGAGGGAAGAACACGUACCAACUAACUAUUGGUACCUUGACGGUACCUCACCAGAAAGCCACGGCUAACUACGUGCCAGCCGCCGCCGUAA